AGUGCAAUUACUGGGUCACGUGGUAAUUAAAUAUUUCAUUUUAUAAGAAACUGCCAAACUAUUUUCCAGAGUGGCUGUACCAUUUUAAAUUCCCACCAGUAAU
rnacentral:pre_miRNA from 1 species